GCCAGAACCUUUCUAGAGCAGUAUAAGGCAGACAAAGAAUCAAAUAAAGAUGCAGCAACAUCAAAGACUGCAACAUCAGGAAAUGACAGUGAAUUAAAUGAGCAAAUAUUGGCAGAAUUAAAAGAAAUCAAAAGUGUUCUGGUAGAAACUUUAACACUUUUGAAAAAUGGAUGCACUCCAUUAUUAACUGCACCAGUUACCAGUUCACUGGUAACUCCCCCUGAACCUGCUUCUGAUUUACUUGCUCCAGAGUCUUCCCCUGUGGUACCUGCC